UAAACAAAAUUUUAGUAAAUAAAAUUGAAUCGAAAAAUGCCCGGGAUAUUUGGCAGCUGUCCGACUAAUCGCCUCGGGCCGCAUCUUCUGCAGAUAUCGCGAUGUUUAAGCUACCACGUCCCGCUCUUCCGGCCACGUAGUAUCCUGCAGGCCCGCAAGUUAAGCCAGCUAUGUUGCAGUGUGUCCUCGCGAUCGCGAUCGGGUGCCUUCAGUCAUGCCAAUAUCCGGGUACAGCCGUACUCUCAGAAGGGCACCAGUGUCUUCACCUACAACGAUAAUGUGGACAUGUCGCGUAAACGAGUCAGCUUCUCGGGAGCAUCGGAAAAAAAGAACCAGCUUCUACCAGUGGGUCUAAUCACCCCCGAGUCUGACAGUGGCAAGCAGGUGAAGAUUGUGGUUGUGCCUUUGGACCUGUCCACCAUGGAUGCUAAUACAUUGAAGGAGACCCUUGACACCAUCAAUCAACUACGCCUCUACGCAAACCACAUCGAAGAUUUCUCCAAUACCAUGAUGGAAGAGUACAACGCUCUGAGCGAUGCAAUGCAAGAGGUGGAGGAAACAACUACGGAACUAGCCGAGGUGCAGCAAGAACUAGAGCGGGCGAGGCAAGAAAUAAACAGUGAAAAUAAACAGUUCUGGGAGUCCUUAAACGCCACACCAUUGUCGGCCGAUGUGGACGCCGUGGCGGAUCGCACAAACUUCAGUCGAGCUGGCCUGGGCCUAGGACGUGGCACACCUAUGGAGGAACGGCAGGAGGCGGUCAGCAGCUGCCUUCAGGCCGGAUUGGCUCAGACGGCUCCAAUGACAGCAGAACCACAGACUGCUGCUCCCAAUUUUGACAUCAAGUCGACCUCCACCCUGCCGCAUGCUCUGGGUUCCCAAAAUCCCACUCAAUUUACUGCUUUCGGUGCCAACUUGAAUGAUCCUCUCAUGAGGGAUGACUUUAUAGAGGAGGUACGUGUGGAUGUGCCUAAAGAUAUGAGCAGUCGUCUCAAUGAGUUGGCCGUCUCCUCAAUGGAGCUGUCCUUCGAGAUGGACAUGACAAACCUUAAGGACGCAUUGGCCAAUCCGCACACCGACGAUGCGAACCUUCAAGAUCCCAUGAUUUGUAUGCACACAAAGGUGGAAAUGGAUGCACCCGGAACAGUGGAGCAUACAGUGCCGCUCAGGUUCAACGCUUUGAUUUCUGGCGUGGUGGAGCUGGACACAGAGAAGCUAAACGCUCAUCAGAUCACGGACGAAAAGAUGCCUGGGUUCAAUGACGACCUUACCUCGCUGGCAGCCAAUCUGUGCAGCACGGCUCUGGAGAAGGGCUUCUCCUCAUCCAGUUCAAAUAGCUUUAUUGGUGACCUGGAGAUGACCAAAAAUGAGGAAAUGCAGAAAGAUAUGCUCAUCGAUACGUCUCUGAUGCAUCCCGCUGCCCACGUGGGUCAUUUGGCUCAGGAAAUGAUGGCAGCCGUCGUUCCUGACGUUAAGGAGGAAGUUGAGGGCAAAGAUGGCUGCAAGCAUCCGCCAGUAAAGCCAAAGAAGAAGUGUCCCGGAAAGUGUCCUCUGAUCACUGAUCCCUGCAAAGAAGACCCCUGCAAGCGUCCAGAAAAGACCAAGAAGCCGCCAAAAAAGAAGGCUUCCAGCGCCUUAGAUGUAACCGCCCAGGCUUCCGGCGACAAAUGUGACAAGAAAAAGAAAGAUCCUUGCGCCAAAAAAAAGGGUGGCGGUAAAAAGAAAGAUCCCUGCGCCAAGGACGGAGGCAAAGGUGGCAAGGACAAGAAGGAUCCCUGUGCCAAGUUUAAGAAAGGAAAAGAUAAAAAGAAGGAUCCCUGCGCCAAGAAGAAGGAUCCUUGCGCAAAGAAAGAAAAAAAGAAGGAUUCUUGCGCAAAGAAAGAAAAAAAGAAGGAUCCUUGCGCAAAGAAAGACAAAAAGAAGGAUCCUUGCGCAAAGAAAGAAAAAAAGAAGGAUCCUUGCGCAAAGAAAGACAAAAAGAAGGAUCCUUGCGCAAAGAAAGACAAAAAGAAGGAUCCUUGCGCAAAGAAAGAAAAAAAGAAGGAUCCCUGCGCCAAGAAAGACAAAGGUAAGAAGAAGGAUCCCUGCGCCAAGAAAGGAGACAAAGGUGGUAAGAAGAAGGAUCCCUGCGCCAAGUUCAAAAAAGGAGGGAAAGAUAAAAAGAAGGAUCCCUGCGCCAAGAAAGGAGGCAAAGGUGGCAAGAAGGAGGAUCCUUGUGCCAAGUUCAAGAAGAACAAGGGCGGCAAAGAUAAGGGGUGCAAGUUCUCCACCUAUGCACCCAAUGACUUCAACAAACGCUACCUUUCCACUGUUCUUGGCCAGACUGGAUCUCCGCGAGGACCUCGUUUCCUGGUCUACUCCACUCGAGUACGCCGCAACUACCGUAUCCCCACCUCGAAGAACACUCCUUGCCAGUGUCCCAUGUGCCAGGGAAAACGUUUACUGACCGAUACUGUCGAAACUCCAGCCCGUUUUGUCAUAAAUUCCUCCCUAAUGCGUCGCCGUUUUGGAAGCUUGAGUGGCAUGGACCUCAUAAAGCGAUCCUAUUCAAAGAAGAAGAAGAAGAAGUCGCCUGGCAAGUGCGGUUCAAUGGCGCAAAAGUAUCCGAAGAGCCGCGGCAAGGACCAAAAGGAACGAACGGGCCUCCGACUGGACUGCUUUAAAAGUGAUGACGACUGCGCCAUCAAGGGAUGCUCCGGCCAUUGCGCCAAAGUCAAGUUCCCCCGAAAGAAGUGUGAGAAGAAAAAGAAGAAAAAGAGCCCCAAGAAAAGCAAAAAAGCCAAAAAAAGCAAAAAGGACAAAAAGGGGUGUGGAAAGGGCAAAAAGAAGUAGGCAUUACGCUGAUUAAAGAUGCCCGCCUGCCCCUGAAGUACUGGUACCAGUGCCAAAGAUCGUUCAGUACACGUUCCGCCUGCCAAAUCAAACCUGACCUCAAGCCUGGCCUCAAUGGGAAGGCGUAUGCCGUAAGAAUUCCGAAUCCCUACAAAAUAGACAUGGUUCCAGUUUCCAGGCCAACUCCAACCGACUUUGAUGUACUGGUUCGAACGAGUUCCGUGGCCAUAUCGGGUUCCGACAUCCAUGUCUACG
rnacentral:misc_RNA from 1 species